rnacentral:rRNA from 1 species
UACAGGGGGGGCAAGCGUUGUUCGGAAUUACUGGGCGUAAAGCGCGCGUAGGCGGCUUUGUAAGUUAGAGGUGAAAGCCCGGGGCUCAACUCCGGAAUUGCCUUUAAGACUGCAUCGCUUGAAUCAUGGAGAGGUGAGUGGAAUUCCGAGUGUAGAGGUGAAAUUCGUAGAUAUUCGGAAGAACACCAGUGGCGAAGGCGACUCACUGGACAUGUAUUGACGCUGAGGUACGAAAGCGUGGGGAGCAAACAGG